UAAUCUUCCAUAAAAACAACAGAUUCAACAAAACAACAGAAUAGAUCACUACAUGUACAAAUAAACAUCAUGAAACCACUUUACAUACAGAACAAAUCCUCUAAAGUCACAUAACCAUAGAUGAAGCAAUUUUCAAUUCUCAUACAUUCUUAAUACAUACUUCAAAGUUAACUAUCUUCAAUUAUGAAAAUUCUGACAUACCUCUACUCUCUUUGAAAUAUUAGAUAUCUAUCUAGCCUUGCCCCAACAAAUUGAUGCUAUCAAAUUGAAGAGAAGCCAGACCAAUAGAACUUACUAUACAAAGAACAGAGCCAAUAUCCCCAGGAAAUGACAAUUGAGACAUCAUGCACUACACAGACCUGGCAAUAACUCAGGAAAGUUAUUACAAAUAGAAAACAAUGAUCUUGAGCAAAUUAAUGGCAAUCAAACAUAUUCUACUGCUCCUAAACUUGCCGUGAAGACUCUUUCAUUUCAAAAUACAUUGUCUAAUUUCCACAAAAGGAUUGAUAUGUUAGAGGUCACAUAGCCAUGUUCUGUUUGUAAAGAAAUGUAUGUGGGCAUGACUAUUAAAAAAGUCAAUCACAUACUUAUGUGCAUGAGAUGUUAUGGUGAAAAAGGGCUCUGCCGUUUCUCAUUAUCAAACAAUAUGGACCCAGGUGAGCAACCUUUUGUUUUAAAGUCUCUCUCUCAAGUAGAAGAAAUGCUCAUAUCAAGAAUUGCCCCUGUUUUACAAGUAACACAUGCAAGGGGAGGCCAAUACAAAUAUUCUAGCCAUACAAUAAACUUCCCACAAGAUAUUUCUGAAAUUGCAAUAACAUUACCUCGUCAUAUUAAACAAUUAGAAAUUCUUAUUGUCCGUAGAACCAAUUUGCAAGGAUUAACUUAUGACUGUUAUGUGAAUAGAUUUCACGUCAUGAAUGCAUUGGCUUACAAAAUGAAACAUGAUCAAUACUACAAGGAUGUAGUCGUUGAUCUAGAUGCAGUGCAUCUAUUGCCAGACUAGUCCACUGACAUUACAGAGCUACUGCAUUCAGUCGAUCCACUGCAAGAAGAUGUUGUUCAAGAUACUUCCACUCUGCCAAAUAUUCACAUUGAAGAACAAAUAGGGGAGAAUACUUCCUCAUUUAUCCCAAAAUUGCCAUCAUCAAUACCAGAACUUGAUGCCAUAAAAAACAUCCUCCAUCUAGACAACAGCAACAACAAUGUUAUUCCUUGGCCACAAAUCAGUACAUCACCCAUCAAUGAGUACAAUACAAAGGGCCUCCUUUCCAUGGCAUUCCCAACACUUUUCCCUUCUGGAAUGGAUUUACCACUACAACAAAGAACAAAGCAUGUACACUUACAUCAAUAUGCUUUGCACCUGAUCAAAUAUUAUGAUCAAAGAUUUGGGCAACAUGUUUGCUUUAGAUAUUAUAUCUACAAUCUUAUGAUGAGACAUCAAUCCCAACAAUCAGUUGUUAUCUUCAUUAAGACUAAUCUAGAAGAUAGUCUUCCACACAACCUUCAUGGCCUAAAAGAAUACUUACAAAAUACACCCUCAAGUGAAUUGCCAAAUCAUAUCAUGUGAUAUGCAGCCUCGUUGCAUGCUACACAAGCAUUUUGGGGAAAAUCCUAGCGUGAUCUUACAUCCAUGAUAGAAUAGUUAGGUACACCUACCCUGUUCUUUACCUUAAGCUCAGCUGAUACAAAAUGGCCAGACUUGCAUAAUUUAUUGCCAAAAACAAAGUCAACUCCUGAACCCAACAACAAAAGAUAAUUUAUUGAAAAUUUAGUCAAUAAUCCACACAUUACAGCCUUAUACUUGCACUUAAGAUUUCAAAUCUGCCAUGAUGAAGUAAUUGUCAAAGAACUAAAAACUAUUGACCAUUGGUACAGAUAUGAAUGGCAACACCAAGGAUCUGCACAUAUACAUGGCUUUCUUUGGUUACCAGAAGCACCAAAUGUCGAUAACCUUGAUUGGUCAGAUCCUGCAAGUAUCCAAUCAAUUAAACACUUCUUUGACCAGUACAUUACAACAUGGAAUCCACGCCCUGAAGAAGAUCACUUGAACAAACAAUAUAUGCCUGCAACUUCAGAUCCAUAUCUUGCAGAUACAAAGAUCAUUUCCAAGUCUGAUCCUUGCACUAAUUAUACAGAGUUGCUCAAUGUUGUUCAACAACAUACCAAGUGUUCAGAGUAUACCUGCUUGAGGAAAAAAAACUCAACCCUUCAAUGUGAGUACAAAGCUCCUUGGCCUGAACAACAUGAAUCAUCAUUGAUAUUAGAUGACAACAAUAACCCAUCAUACAAACUAGCAAGGAAUGUCAAUCAUCUAAAUGUACACAACCCAACCAUGCUCGCCAUAUGGAGGGCUAAUGUUGACUGUCAACCUGUCUGCUCCAAAAAAGCAGUUCUACAAUAUAUCUCGAAGUACACAUCCAAAACUGAACAGAAGUCAAAAAGUUAUACUAAUAUCCUGAAACACAUAGUUGAAUCAACAAAUUCAAAUGAUACAAUUCUCUUGGCAUACCAAAGACUAUUGAUGGGAAUUGUUGCUAAUAGGGACAUUAGCACACAAGAAACUUGUCACAUGCUAUUUAAACUCCCAUUGAUAUCUUGCACACACCAAUUUGUAACACUCAAUGUUGGCAAAAGAAUAUUUCAACAAAUAGCUAAUUGUGAUGAAGGAUCUUAAAGCUUAAUAUCUUACAUCUCAAACUACAUGAAACGACCAUCAAAAUUAGCAAACCUGACUCUACUUCAUUCAGCCCAGCUAUAUACAUAUUUUGAUCAGCAUAAAUCAUGUAAAUGGAUGAAAAGAAAGCUACCAGCAAUUGUAAAUGUCUACCCACACCACAAAUCUUUACCUUUAGAAGAGGACAAUAGUUUUGAAAGUUUCUGUUGGAGUGAAUUACUUCUUUACAAACCAUUUCGAAUCAUUCCUCUACAUAUAGGGAACUUAGUUGAAGAAAUUAUAAUGAAUUGGAAACAUCUUCAAGGUAUAGAUUACAUCCGCUAGCAUGUAAAUAGUUUUGAAGAACACAUAACAAUAGAAAAUGGUGAAGAGCUAUAACGAGAAGACAUUCAACAAUCUACUCAUGAAGAUCUGUACGAAUGGGAGUUCCUAUCACAAAUGGGAGUGUCAAACAACUUUGACGUUGCUACUCUUCAAAUGCUUGGCAAACAUGAUUUUGAUCUACACUUUGAUUGGAUUUCUUCUAUACCUGCUAAACCACUGCAUUCAAAAGCAUCUCAAUUUAUUUUAACAGAGAAAAGCCAGGCACCCCACAUCCUUUCCAACCCGCAUUUAAAUGCACCUACUAACUAUGAGCUUGCAAGAAACCAAAUUAUUGCACUUGAUAUCAUUAAAACUCAUGCUGAACAGAACUUGCAUUCUUCACCAUUACGGUUAAUCAUUCAAGGCACAACAAGCACUAGAAAAUCAUUUCUUAUUGACUACAUAUAGAGACAACUAAGUUCAAAUUUAGAACCUGCACGAUACCCUUUGCUUGUACUAGCACCAAUAGGUGUUUCCACAUAUAAUAUCCAAGCAACCACAAUCCAUGUUGCUCUCUGCAUACCCAUUCAAGAAUACAAACCCUUAACAAGCCAUUCCCUAUUAAUGUUUCAAGAGCAAUGCAAACAUUUAUGUUACAUUUUAAUAGAUGAAAUGAGCUUUGUUGGCCCUCAAUUACUCAUUAAGAUUGAUAAAAGAUUGCGAGAAGUUUUUCCCAGCAGACAACAUAAAUCAUUUGCAGCUAUCUUAGUCAUUUUGGUUGGUGAUCUUGCACAAAUUCUCCCAAUUAUGGAUAGGCCAUUAUACGCAUCUCACUCAAUGGUACUAGCUCUAUGGCACACAUUCAAUAUGGUUGUGACCUUGGAUAUUACAUUUCAUCAACAAGGCACAAGUUCUUGAUAGAUAAGUUUUCGUGAAAUGUUACUUAAUAUCCGCAAUACAAAACCAUUGCAAACAGACUGGGAAUCCCUCCAAUUGUGGUCCACCCAUGCUUUGACACUUGAUCAGAAUAACCACUUCAGCUAACAAAAGCAUUUGUUUGCAACAAAUGCAGCUUCAAGUGCACACAACAUAAAAAUGUUAACACAAUUGCACGUGCAACAACAAUCAUUGCCCAUCAAAGAGAUAAGCAGGCACACCAAGAAGAACAACUAGCAUUUGAAAUUCUUCUUUCUAUAUACUAGGAAAUUAUGCUUAUUGCAAAUUUAUGGAUAGAAGUUGGCCUUGUAAAUGGUGCUUUGGGUCAAAUCAAACGAAUUAUUUACAAUGCAGCUUCCAAACCACCUGAUUUGCCUAAAUAUGUGAUUGUUCUUUUCAAACAUUAUACUAGGCCUUAAUGGGAUCCACAAAAUGCAAAACAUGUGCCUAUUCCACCAAUUACUAGAGGAAACUGCACACAAAUUCCACUAGCAAUGGCCUGGGGCAUUACUAUUCACAAAUCACAGGGGUUAACAUUAGACUUUGCCAUAGUUGACAUUGGCAAAAUAGAGAAACAAGGCCUAACAUUCACAACACUUUCAAGAGUAAAAGUAAUUGAACACCUACGUAUACAACCAGCCUUCACCUACCAAAGGUACUCACACUUGAAAGGUGCAACAUCAACAAUUCUUCGAAAGGCUGAGGAAGCCCACUUGCUUGAGCUGUCGCACAGAACAAAAGAAACAUACCUACAGAACAAACACAAUCAGGUUCAACAACACAACUAACGUCUAUGAAAUUGAAGAGCCCUUUUACAUGUCCCAACUCUACAACAAAAGAACACCUCUUCCCUUUCACGGGUAUUACGGUUUCUGAAGGUUAGCUUUCAAUAAAGAACAACAUCAAGGACACCUCUUCCCUUUCACAAGUAUUAUGGUUUCUGAAGGUUAGCUUUCAAUAAAGAACAACAUCAAGGACACCUCUUCCCUUUCAUAGGUAUUAUAGUUUCUGAAGGUUAGCUUUCAAUAAAGAACAACAUCAAGUCUGCAAGGCACCUAUUCACUUUUACACAUAUAAUGUUUUCUACUGGUAUUUGCUCACUAUGUCACUCUUUACAAUUGGUUUCUUACUUUGUUUAGGUUUUCUUCACUCAAGAAUACAACUUUCCAUAAAGAACAACACCCAAUACACCAAUGUCAAUACUAUCAAGAAAAGAUCUCUCACAACAAACAAAUACUGACAUGAAUGAUAGGUGACAUUCCAAUUCUACCAUUUCACAUCCAUCAGGUGUCUCAUCAUAUAAAUCAUAUGGAAUUCAACAAAAGGCUAUAUACAAUGCUGGUCUUACCAAGAUGGGGGAUGGAGGGUGGAUAACAACAAUACUUUGGGUCCAACAAAAAUAUUUGGUUGGGAUUAAUAUACCCUACAAAAAAAAAUGUAAAUCAAAUAUUCAUGAUAUUUUCUUCAAGUACAUCAUGCUGCAUACACCAGCAUGGGGGAUGGUGGGUGGAAAAUUUUCAA